rnacentral:rRNA from 1 species
AUUGAACGCUGGCGGCAGGCUUAACACAUGCAAGUCGAGCGAGCGGCGGACGGGUGGGUAAUGUCUGGGAAACUGCCUGAUGGAGGGGGAUAACUACUGGAAACGGUAGCUAAUACCGCAUAACAUCCGAUCUGCCCAGAUGGGAUUAGCUAGUGGGUGGGGUAAUGGCUCACAUAGGCGACGAUCCCUAGCUGGUCUGAGAGGAUGACCGGCCACACUGGAACUGAGACACGGUCCAGACUCCUACGGGAGGCAGCAGUGGGGAAUAUUGCACAAUGGGCGAAAGCCUGAUGCAGCCAUGCCGCGUGUGUGAAGAAGGCCUUCGGGUUGUAAAGCACUGUCAGUGAGGAGGCGUUACUCGCAGAAGAAGCACCGGCUAACUCCGUGCCAGCAGCCGCGGUAAUAC